CAAAAACAAAGUUAUGAUCUCAACAGUGGCAUGCCUCUACAGUUCAUUACAUACAAUAUGAAUUUCUAUUAGUAAUUUGAAAAACAAAAUUCAGGAAAUACAAUUUCUUUUAGUUAUCACCAGCAAAAACAGCAGAUAUACUGAUAUGUGGCAUCUGAAAUUUAUAAAUUUACCAGCAACCCAGUAGUAAUUCACAAAUAAAACUCACAUCUUGCCAUGUUUUCUUCUGGCGAGAACUGCAACAUGAUAUCCUCAAAGCAGGGAGAUUCGGCCUGUGGUUGACCACAGUAACUGUAAGCUUCAAAUGGCGGCUUUCCAACAAGGCAUUCAUAACACAACACGCCCAGGCUCCAUAAGUCAACCUUUUCAUCAUGCAGCUGACCCUGGACCAUUUCUGGUGGAAGGAUUGCCUUUGGCCUUGAAGAUGGAGGGGACGGGUUCUUCGAGAAUGCUGUUAACCACCUACAAAACUAGACAGCAUCAGAAGCAAAAGGGUUUCAAUCUACAAGUACAAAGUUGAGUUUCGUAUAGGAACACACCACAGUAUAAGACAAAGUUAAUAAUUCAUGCCAGAUGCACUAUAAGGUAUUUAACUUAAUGUUAUGCGGUGUAAAAAUGAUGUCAAUUUGCUUUCUUGAUAUUAAAAAAAAUUCUAUUAUGAAUUAGUUACUUAAAAACAAGUCUAUGCAAUUUUUGUAUUAUAAAUUUAAAUCAUACUGUAAACGGCCUUUUCGCACAAGAUGUUAACAGUUAAAUAUAGAGAAAACUGCAAAGUA